rnacentral:rRNA from 1 species
GAUGAACGCUGGCGGCGUGCCUAAUACAUGCAAGUCGAGCGAACAGACGAGGAGCUUGCUCCUCUGACGUUAGCGGCGGACGGGUGAGUAACACGUGGAUAACCUACCUAUAAGACUGGGAUAACUUCGGGAAACCGGAGCUAAUACCGGAUAAUAUAUUGAACCGCAUGGUUCAAUAGUGAAAGACGGUUUUGCUGUCACUUAUAGAUGGAUCCGCGCCGCAUUAGCUAGUUGGUAAGGUCACGGCUUACCAAGGCAACGAUGCGUAGCCGACCUGAGAGGGUGAGCGGCCACACUGGAACUGAGACCCGGUCCAGACUCCUACGGGAGGCAGCCGUAGGGAAUCUUCCGCAAUGGGCGAAAGCCUGACGGAGCAACGCCGCGUGAGUGAUGAAGGUCUUCGGAUCGUAAAACUCUGUUAUUAGGGAAGAACAAAUGUGUAAGUAACUAUGCACGUCUUGACGGUACCUAAUCAGAAAGCCACGGCUAACUACGUG